GGACAGUGGCAUUGUCCAGGUAAGCACUGAUACACCUGCUCAGGGACAGUGGCAUUGUCCAGGUAAGCACUGAUACACCUGCUCAGGGACAGUGGCAUUGUCCAGGUAAGCACUGAUACACCUGCUCAGGGACAGUGGCAUUGUCCAGGUAAGCACUGAUACACCUGCUCAGGGACAGUGGCAUUGUCCAGGUAAGCACUGAUACACCUGCUCAGGGACAGUGGCAUUGUCCAGGUAAGCACUGAUACACCUGCUCAGGGACAGUGGCAUUGUCCAGGUAAGCACUGAUACACAUGGCAGCCCAUUCUGUGGACAUGGUUGCUGUCCAGCUGGUAGAAGCUGACUGUGGGGCUCACAGCUGGUGCAGCCCCUCGUGC